rnacentral:tRNA from 5 species
GCUCUGAUAGUUCAAUAGGUUAGAACGGGCGACCGAUAAUCGUCAAACGUUGGUUCGAUUCCAACUCGGAGUACCA